GACGUAGGGCGCGAGCGUUGUCCGGAUUUAUUGGGCGUAAAGAGCUCGUAGGCGGUGUGUCGCGUCGGCCGUGAAAACCUGCAGCUUAACUGUGGGCUGCGGUCGAUACGGGCAUCACUGGAGUUCGGCAGGGGGAGACUGGAAUUCCUGGUGUAGCGGUGAAAUGCGCAGAUAUCAGGAGGGAACACCGGUGGGCGAAGGCGGUUCUCUGGGCAUGUCCUGA
rnacentral:rRNA from 1 species